rnacentral:lncRNA from 1 species
GCAGAGGUUCCGCCCCCCCCAGCUGGCGCCCCACAAACAGCAGAGCCGCAGCGAUGCUGCAGUGGGUGCGGCUCUGGGGGGUGCAACGCGACCCAUGGGUGCGCCCCACUGAUGCGCCCCAUAUAUGCGCCCCAUAGAUGCGCCCCACAGAUUCACCCCACAGAUUCGCCCCACAGAUUCACCCCACAGAUUCACCCCACAGAUUCGCCCCACAGAUUCGCCCCACGGCUUCCCGGCCGCAGCGCGGCUCACCGGGGCAGCGGUACAACUUCCUGGCCUGUGCGAUGUCGCCUUUGCUGAGCCGCGCGCGCUGCCCGAUGGGCGGCCGGACGCCGUUCACGUCGUAUUUGGGCAGGAUGGUGUCCAGGAAAAUCCCCCUGCGGGCAGCGCGGCGCCGUGGGGCGCGGAUCAGCACCGCCACACAGGGGGCGCCAUGGGGCACAGCGGGGUGCUGGGGUGCUAUGGGAUGCUAUGGGGCGCUAUGGGGCACAGUGCGGUGCUAUGGGGUGCUAUGGGGCGCUAUGGGGCGCUAUGGGGUGCUAUGGGGCGCUAUGGGGCACAGUGCGGUGCUAUGGGG